rnacentral:rRNA from 1 species
CUUGCUUCUCUUGAGAGCGGCGGACGGGUGAGUAAUGCCUAGGAAUCUGCCUGGUAGUGGGGGAUAACGUCCGGAAACGGACGCUAAUACCGCAUACGUCCUACGGGAGAAAGCAGGGGACCUUCGGGCCUUGCGCUAUCAGAUGAGCCUAGGUCGGAUUAGCUAGUUGGUGGGGUAAUGGCUCACCAAGGCGACGAUCCGUAACUGGUCUGAGAGGAUGAUCAGUCACACUGGAACUGAGACACGGUCCAGACUCCUACGGGAGGCAGCAGUGGGGAAUAUUGGACAAUGGGCGAAAGCCUGAUCCAGCCAUGCCGCGUGUGUGAAGAAGGUCUUCGGAUUGUAAAGCACUUUAAGUUGGGAGGAAGGGCAGUAAAUUAAUACUUUGCUGUUUUGACGUUACCGACAGAAUAAGCACCGGCUAACUCUGUGCCAGCAGCCGCGGUAAUACAGAGGGUGCAAGCGUUAAUCGGAAUUACUGGGCGUAAAGCGCGCGUAGGUGGUUCGUUAAGUUGGAUGUGAAAUCCCCGGGCUCAACCUGGGAACUGCAUUCAAAACUGACGAGCUAGAGUAUGGUAGAGGGUGGUGGAAUUUCCUGUGUAGCGGUGAAAUGCGUAGAUAUAGGAAGGAACACCAGUGGCGAAAGCGACCACCUGGACUGAUACUGACACUGAGUGCGAAAGCGUGGGGAGCAAAC